CAAAAAAUAUAUUCUCCUGCUCGCAAUAUAUAUUAUGUACAUUUUAGAAAGGGAGACGUACUAUUUUUUUCACUAUUAGCCGUUCAAUCCACAAGAACCUCCCAACACACUAGGCGCGCCUUCUAACAUACCAUCCUUUAGGCCUAACACGCCGCUUGCGAGGCACUUCAUCGAUCAACCGCCAGCCUCCAAAACUUAGCCAUGAGAGAGUUAAAAUCCUUCCAUCAUCAUCAUCAUC
rnacentral:misc_RNA from 1 species